rnacentral:rRNA from 1 species
AGGACCGGCCAACUACGUGCCAGCAGCCGCGGUAAUACGUAGGGUCCGAGCGUUGUCCGGAAUUACUGGGCGUAAAGAGCUCGUAGGUGGUUUGUCGCGUUGUUCGUGAAAACUCACAGCUCAACUGGGGGCGUGCGGGCGAUACGGGCAGACUGGAGUACUGCAGGGGAGACUGGAAUUCCUGGUGUAGCGGUGGAAUGCGCAGAUAUCAGGAGGAACACCGGUGGCGAAGGCGGGUCUCUGGGCAGUAACUGA